rnacentral:rRNA from 1 species
CCUACGGGGGGCAGCAGUGGGGAAUAUUGGACAAUGGGCGAAAGCCUGAUCCAGCCAUGCCGCGUGUGUGAAGAAGGCCUUCGGGUUGUAAAGCACUUUUAGUGGGGAAGAAAGCCUUGGGGCUAAUACCCUCGAGGAAGGACAUCACCCACAGAAGAAGCACCGGCUAACUCCGUGCCAGCAGCCGCGGUAAUACGGAGGGUGCGAGCGUUAAUCGGAAUUACUGGGCGUAAAGCGCGCGUAGGCGGUCUGAUAAGCCGGUUGUGAAAGCCCCGGGCUCAACCUGGGAACGGCAUCCGGAACUGUCAGGCUAGAGUGCAGGAGAGGAAGGUAGAAUUCCCGGUGUAGCGGUGAAAUGCGUAGAGAUCGGGAGGAAUACCAGUGGCGAAGGCGGCCUUCUGGACUGACACUGACGCUGAGGUGCGAAAGCGUGGGUAGCAAACAGGAUUAGAUACCCCAGUAGUC